GAUGAACGCUAGCUGCAGGCUUAACACAUGCAAGUCGAGCGACCGGCGCACGGGUGAGUAACACGUAUCCAACCUGCCCUUUACUCUGGGAUAGCCUUUCGACCGAAAGAUUAUUACCCAUUCUUUAGGAUGGGGAUGCGUUCCUUUAGGUUGUUGGUGAUGUAACGGCCCACCAAGCCUUCGAUGGAUAGGGGAUCUGAGAGGAAGGUCCCCCACAUGGGAGCUGAGGCACAGUCCAAACUGGUACGGGGGGCUGCAGUGAGGAAUAUUAGUGAAUGGGCGUUAGUCUGGACCAGCCGAGUAGCGGGAAGGAGGAAGGGUUAUGAGUGGUAAAUUUCUUAUAAAUAAGAAUAGGUAUUAUAUGAAUAAGGAACGGCUAACUCCGUGCCAGCAGCCGCGGUAAUUC
rnacentral:rRNA from 1 species